CUUUUAAGAUUGGUUCUUUUGUAACCGAUCUUAAAAGGUAUGUCUGACACAACUUUUAAGAUCGGUUACAAAAGAACCGAUUUUAAAAG
rnacentral:miRNA from 1 species